rnacentral:rRNA from 1 species
GCACAAGCGGUGGAGCAUGUGGUUUAAUUCGAUGCAACGCGAAGAACCUUACCUGGUCUUGACAUCCAUGGAAUCCUUCAGAGAUGAGGGAGUGCCGGUUUACCGGAACCAUGAGACAGGUGCUGCAUGGCUGUCGUCAGCUCGUGUCGUGAGAUGUUGGGUUAAGUCCCGCAACGAGCGCAACCCUGCUCCAGUUACCAUCAUUAAGUUGGGGACUCUGGAAGGACCGCUGCGGUAACAACGCAGAGGAAGGUGGGGACGACGUCAAGUCAUCAUGGUCCUUAUGACCAGGGCUACACACGUGCUACAAUGGUAGUUACAGAGGGAAGCGAUACGGCAACGUGGAGCAAAUCUCAGAAAAGCUACCUUAGUUCGGAUUGAGGUCUGCAACUCGACCUCAUGAAGUUGGAAUCGCUAGUAAUCGCGCAACAGCAUGGCGCGGUGAAUACGUUCCCGGGCCUU